UACGUAGGGGGCGAGCGUUGCCCGGAUUCAUUGGGCGUAAAGGGCGCGUAGGCGGCCACCGCAAGUCAGUUGUGAAAUCUCUGGGCUUAACCCAGAACGGUCAGCUGAUACUGCGGGGCUAGAGUGCAGAAGAGGCAACUGGAAUUCUCGGUGUAGCGGUGAAAUGCGUAGAUAUCGAGAGGAACACCUGCGGCGAAGGCGGGUUGCUGGGCUGACACUGACGCUGAACUGCGAAAGCUAGGGGAGCGAACGGG
rnacentral:rRNA from 1 species